GUUCCUAUAGCUCAGUGGUAGAGCAAUCGCCUAGAAAGCGAAACGUCCUCAAUUCAAGUGCGAGUAGAGGCA
rnacentral:tRNA from 1 species